rnacentral:rRNA from 1 species
UGGGGAAUAUUGGACAAUGGGGGAAACCCUGAUCCAGCAAUGCCGCGUGAGUGAAGAAGGCCUUAGGGUUGUAAAGCUCUUUCGCCCGCGAAGAUAAUGACGGUAGCGGGAGAAGAAGCCCCGGCUAACUCCGUGCCAGCAGCCGCGGUAAUACGGAGGGGGCUAGCGUUGUUCGGAAUUACUGGGCGUAAAGCGUACGUAGGCGGAUGCGCAAGUUGGGGGUGAAAUCCCGGGGCUUAACCUCGGAAUUGCCCUCAAAACUGCACGUCUUGAGACCGAGAGAGGUAAGGGGAAUUCCUAGUGUAGAGGUGAAAUUCGUAGAUAUUAGGAAGAACACCGGUGCCGAAGGCGCCUUACUGGCUCGGUACUGACGCUGAGGUACGAAAGCGUGGGGAACAAACA